CUCCGCCGGGCCGCCUCGCCGGGUGCGCCGGGUGCCGGGGUUCGGGGGGGCCCCUUUUCCAGGGCCGGGAGGCCACCUGCCCCCUCCCAGGUGGGGACGAAAGCGAAAGUGAGAAAGCGACAGCUCUCCAAAGACCCAGUGCUUCCUCCAGGAGUACAAAUCCUGAGCUGACUUCCAGGGACAACUCAGAGCCCAGCGGGGAAGGUGCACGUGGACACAGAUGGCACCAGGCCCGCGCGGACUGAUCUAAUCCUCACACGGCCUGUGAGUCAGGACCGUCGUCAUCCCCUUCUACAAACGAGGAAACUGAAGGAGAGGAGGUUCCGUUACUCCCAGGCGCUUACACAGCUGGUCAGUGUCAGGGCCAGGUGGGAACUCGGUAAUCGGGCUCGAGGAUCCUUAACCGUGACCCUGUACUGGGUAUCACGGUAACAAGCAAGCUGCGCAAGGUCGCCACCUCGUAGAACUCACACUCUGGUGCCAGAAGACAGACGGGGGCAAGGCUCAGGUUGUAGGAUCAGAAAAACACGGUCCUCGCCGAGGAAAGAGCUGUCAGUGCAAUUCCACCCGGGCUCUGUGAUGGGCGGUGUGCCAGCCGCGGAAUGAGGAAACGCGGGGUCCCAGCAGAGGGCGGACUUGGAGGGGAGGCUGAGGUCAGUUCGGGGCACACUGGUGUGUGCGGCCUGUGGGACGUGCAGGGGGUGUCAUCCAGCAGACAGCCAAACCCGUGCAUCCACAUACAAGACACCUGCCUGGAGACCGGUCGGGAGGCGUCAGGACCGAGGCGACAGCUGGGGACGGGGUGAAGCACGGAGUCUGGACACCGACAGGGGAGGCCAAGGCCCAGGAAAGGACAGGAGUUUGUAACGGAAAAGACUUACAUUUAGUUAUGAUCAAAUACCUCUGCUCAUCCAAAGGGACCAUUUAAGGAGCGAAAAGGCAAGAAAGAAAAACUGGGGAAGACGUUUGCGAUUUGGAGCAAGAAUCCAGAUCGUACGAAGAAGUCACACGAUCGGUAAGAAAAGAGGAAGACAGAGGAAAGACCCAGGCGGUUGCUCAAAGUGAGGAAGUCGAAGACAACCAAUAAACAAAUGAGCGAAAAGGUGCCAAACGUCCUUAGUGUUCUGAGAAACGCCAAACAGAACCCUGACACAUCACAUACUCCACAUGCACGGAGCCACAAUAACAAGUGUCAGUGGUGCUGCGCAGCGACCCAAAUCCUCCCAUGUCGCCGGCGGAAAUGCGAACGGCCGGGGGCGCUUGGGGAAUUGGGGCAUGAUCUUGGACGGCUGAAGAUCCACACGCCCUGAGACCCCGGCCUCCACGCCUGAUCCGCACGCGCCCCGGAGGCACACGUGGAGGUGACUAAGAAAGCACUGUCGGACUAUCCCUGGGACAGACGAUGCCUGCAGUGGCUCCCAGGGACUCCCACCUCCCGCACUCCCGCCUCCUCGUUACCCCUCCUCUGGAUGUGCACCGGACCCAGUGACUUGCUUCUAGGUUACAAAAUAACGUGAUUUCCAUCUGUCCACACCUGCUCUCUGGCCCUGUCGCCUCCUCUCCCAGGAAACCGACUGCAGUGCACCCGCUGCCUGCCGACCGCAGUGCACCCGCUGCCCCGUGACCAGACCCACGUGGCAGGGGUGCAGGGGGCCUCUUGCCACCAGCCAGAGAGGGUCCGAAGUCCUAGUCCAACAGCCUGUGAGAAAGGAGUUUUGCCAACAACCCCUGAGUAAACGUGGAAGUGGAUUCAGUCCAGUCGAACCUGGAGACGAGACCACAACCCCGGUCAGCGUCUGGACUGCAGCCCGUGAGCAGCCGGAGCCAGGGGACCCGGGCGGGCCAUGCCCAGAGUCCGUGACACAAUACGUGUUGUUGCUUCGAGACGCUACGUUUGGGGAUAAGUUGUUACACAGAAAAAAUAACCAGUACAGUCACCAAAUUGGAAAUAACCCGAACGUCCAUCAACAGUAGGAUGGACAAGUAAACUGCACAUUGAUGAUGUCACGAAACGGAGCGUCCAACGUCGUCAAAAAGGAAUGGACUGGAAUUAUAUCCCACAACAUGGCUAAAACGCAAAAACAUAUGUGAGCGGAAAUAACAUGUAAUGUAGACAGA